ACCUUCUGGCUUCUCCUUUCGACUUUUUUUUUCCUUAGCCAGCUUAACCUAAAACCCCAUUAACAAACAAAGAGAGAUUCAUUAGAGAAGAUUUGAUAUACAAAACUUGAAAUGUUCAAAUUCAAGUUUAAAAUUAAUAACCCCUUUUACUUUUUAAAUCUUCAAAUCAAUCUCAUUACCAGAUCUAUCAAUAACCCAUUUUCAAAAAUCCAAUCUUUAUUCAAACGCACAUUCAAAAUGCACUCAAAUCAAUCUCAUUGUUUAUAGAAGUGUAGAAACAGAUAAGAAGGAAUGAGAAAUCUAAGCUAUAUGAUGAAGGUUCAUUUAAGAAAAAAACAAUUUCUUUUUAAAUGAGAAAGACAGAAAAAGAGAGUGAUUUAGGGGGAAGAAGGUAAGAAAAUUAAAAUGGAGAGUUGGAGAACAAACUCGAUUUAAAUUCAAAUACAAGUUUAAAAUAAAAAAAAAAAAAAAAAAAAAAAAAAAAAAAAUCGAAUUCAAAAUAAUCCCAAUAAAGUCGAUUUGAAUCUGAUUCAUUACCUUGAUGAAAUCCCUGCUUGUGAAUGAUGGAGGAGAGAGGUGGUCGAGCUUGUGAAUGAUGGAGGAAAGAGAGAAACAGUAGUGAAGCGAGAAAGAGAAGAGAAAAUGGAGAAGAGAAGAGCGGCAAGGAAGAGAACGCAAAAAACCCUAGGAGUCUGGGAAUUUUUU
rnacentral:lncRNA from 1 species